UACACAUGCAGUCGAGCGGAUGAGAGGAGCUUGCUCCUGGAUUCAGCGGCGGACGGGUGAGUAAUGCCUAGGAAUCUGCCUGGUAGUGGGGGACAACGUUUCGAAAGGAACGCUAAUACCGCAUACGUCCUACGGGAGAAAGCAGGGGACCUUCGGGCCUUGCGCUAUCAGAUGAGCCUAGGUCGGAUUAGCUAGUUGGUGAGGUAAUGGCUCACCAAGGCGACGAUCCGUAACUGGUCUGAGAGGAUGAUCAGUCACACUGGAACUGAGACACGGUCCAGACUCCUACGGGAGGCAGCAGUGGGGAAUAUUGGACAAUGGGCGAAAGCCUGAUCCAGCCAUGCCGCGUGUGUGAAGAAGGUCUUCGGAUUGUAAAGCACUUUAAGUUGGGAGGAAGGGCAGUAAAUUAAUACUUUGCUGUUUUGACGUUACCGACAGAAUAAGCACCGGCUAACUCUGUGCCAGCAGCCGCGGUAAUACAGAGGGUGCAAGCGUUAAUCGGAAUUACUGGGCGUAAAGCGCGCGUAGGUGGUUCGUUAAGUUGGAUGUGAAAUCCCCGGGCUCAACCUGGGAACUGCAUUCAAAACUGUCGAGCUAGAGUAUGGUAGAGGGUGGUGGAAUUUCCUGUGUAGCGGUGAAAUGCGUAGAUAUAGGAAGGAACACCAGUGGCGAAGGCGACCACCUGGACUGAUACUGACACUGAGGUGCGAA
rnacentral:rRNA from 1 species